AGCCCAAGGGUUGGUAGAAGAGGAGGAGGGAGAAGAGCUCUUCUAAUUAGAAACAGAGGCCUGGGGGGUUAGGUAACCGGGAUAACGACAUUUUGUGGCCAUCAGCACAAAAGAUGAAGAUGAGAGAGAGAAAAAAAUGUACAGACCACUCCCUCUGCAGCUGCUGCAGGAUCUCGGACGUCAAAAGUCCGUCUCGCACCAGGCGGUUAGCUAGCGAGCUGUCCACGGUCUGUUUCAAGCCUUUUGAAGCGCUCAGACUUCUGACUCCUGACGAGUGGCUACCGGAGGCACCGGUUUGGACGCGGUUUCUCUGCGCCUGGAGUGGGCCGGUGAUGGCCGGGUCUGUGGCUCGGAUGAGACGCGUGAUAUUCCGUACGCCCUCUUGGAUGGUGGCGUCCAGUUCCCGUUGGAUUUCCCGCACAAAGGCAGUGUCAGGGAACAUGUCCAAGAAACGGUAACUAGACAAGAAACAACAUGAAGGGUUAAGUAGUGAAGGAAAUAUAGCCAACUAUAAGAAUAUAGUAAGAGUACAAUCAUAGCAAUAAUAGAGCCCCAAUUAGUGCGCGUCAUCCAUUUAGGAAAAAUAAAUGCCUCUCAAAUAGACAACACACUUUGAUCCAUCAAGAAAACAGUAAACAAUCUUUCAGAUAAAGUGUGGAGACUUCUCAUGUUGUAAAAUAAUUCAUUUUUACCACGAUAAAACAAAUUAUACUAUAGGAAUGUAUAGAAUAUUACAGCACAGUGGUGCCUUGAAAUACGAGUUUAGUUCAUUUCGUGACCACUAUUCUGUUCUAAAAAAAAAAAAAAACUGUUGUAGUCUGUAUUUUAAUGAAGAAAAAUAGCACUCUAUAAAAAUAUACAGUAAUGACAUAAUUAAAAAGAAUUACACUAUUUCUCACACUGCAUCAAUUGAAUAGUAGUAGUGUGGUGUUUUUUUUCUGGUGUGCUUGCCUUGACCAUCUGGGGGCAGUAUAAGACUGACAGAUGGAUAUACUGUUCAUUGUGAAUUUGUGACCUCGCUCAUCAGUACAGCACUAAUAUUAGUCGUUCUAUGCCGAGGAUGAAGGGAUAUAGCACCACAACAUAGAUGCUAUUUAGCAUUAAGCUAGUGGACUAAAAGACUGGUCGUUUUAAAUACAAUAGAAAAUUAUACACCUAUACCUAUUUUAUGUUUAGUUUGACAAUAAACUAACUGGCAGUGACAAAGAGUUUGAAGCUUCUUUUUUGAAGAAUUGAAGACUACAGUAUUUGCCAAAGUGCUGCUUAUUGUGAAGUCAGUUGAGAUGAGUUCACUGCCACCAAGCAGCGCUCAUGUCUCAAGUCUGCAGCUCGGAAGUCAAAGCAAAAAUAAAUACAUCGACCAAACAACGGCUCGUAGCUUGAAAAACAUAAGUCGAGUCACUUGUAUUUCAAGGCACAACUGCAGUUAAAUAUUUACUGAUUUUUUUCCUAAUUUUUGAUUCACUCUUACAGCUAAUGAAAACAAAAUUCAAGAAAUAUAUAUAUAUUACAUAAGAAAUCGUACAACCACAACUUGUAUAGUUACAAUUUCAUACAGAUUCAAGUACUUUUUUAACUUUAAAACGUCACUGAUGCUCAUGAUCAUUUGGCAGCUGCCAAACCAUAAUUCCAUCCGUCACAAAAUUACCUUAACCAGAGGUAAAGAUCCAACACGUCGUGAACAGCCUCCAGGUGAACCAGGUCUUUUAUGUUUUUGGGCGGGGCCAGAGGCCAGUUGACAUGCCGACAGACCCAGUCAAAGGUCAAGGGUUCGUCUCGGCUGAACUGACGGGCGAACUGAAAGAGAAAGAAGUAGUAGAAUCAGUUCACAUAUGUGACAUUGCAUGAAAAGUUUUCAAAUGAUUUAUUCAAAAAAAAUGUUCCCCCCAUAAAAACCUAAAAUUUGAACAUGGGUGUGUGUUUUUUUAUUCAGGGGACCUGAGGACGGUGAAGAAUAAAUCAUUGGGGGAUUAAAAUGGAUUUG